rnacentral:rRNA from 1 species
ACGGGAGGCAGCAGUGGGGAAUAUUGCACAAUGGGGGAAACCCUGAUGCAGCGACGCCGCGUGAGUGAAGAAGUAUUUCGGUAUGUAAAGCUCUAUCAGCAGGGAAGAAAAUGACGGUACCUGACUAAGAAGCCCCGGCUAACUACGUGCCAGCAGCCGCGGUAAUACGUAGGGGGCAAGCGUUAUCCGGAUUUACUGGGUGUAAAGGGAGCGUAGACGGCGAUGCAAGUCUGAAGUGAAAGCCCGCGGCUUAACUGCGGAACUGCUUUGGAAACUGUAUUGCUAGAGUGUCGGAGAGGUGAGUGGAAUUCCCAGUGUAGCGGUGAAAUGCGUAGAUAUUGGGAGGAACACCGGUGGCGAAGGCGGCUCACUGGACGAUAACUGACGUUGAUGCUCGAAAGCGUGGGGAGCAAACAGGAUUAGAUACCCUGGUA